UUCAACAUGUGAUCAUGAUUCAGAAACAGAUGAACAGUUGAGGAGAUGAGGAGACAAGCAGAUGGAUGGCAGAAUGACAUGGCAGAGAAAAAGAAGAUGAAUUCCUGAGUACCAAGAGCUAGGCUGGGGGUGGUCAAAGAGGCAUUUGACUGCUGGACUGAACUUCCAGGGGAAGAUCAUCUUCCUACUCCAUCCCUCCUUCCAGCUCCCCAUCCAUCCUGUGUAGAGCCACCUCCACAUUCAAUAAAAUCCUACAUUCAUCCUUCAGGUCCAUGUGUGACCUGAUUCUUUCAGGAUGUAGGGCAAGAGCUUGGGAUACAGAAAGCUGUCACAUUGUCCCUCUGCCCUUGAGAAAAGGCAGAGGGUCCAUUGAGCUGGUUAACACUCAAGUUGUCCAAGGAUGGCAGGUCUAAAAGGGCACACUGUAAUACACACCUCUCUGGGCUCCUGCACCUGUCCAUCUAUGCUCCUCCUCCUCUCAGAGGUUUGAGUGGUGGCAGCAAUCCAACAGGUGAGCCACACCCAUGUCACAUGUCCUGCAAGGUGGAUCAAUGAACUCUCCCAUUUCACUGUGUUUUCAAAUACUUACAGAACAUUUUUCCUGCCCUAUAGAAACUGGUAGUCUAAGUAGGAAAAUAAGACUUACUUGAUGGAAACGAUUAAAAUGGACUCUUGUAAUUACACACACAUGCUCCAUCUCCCUCGAGCCUGGAUCUCAUCCUCUUUGCUUCUGUUUCAGCCAUGCUGCUGCCAUGCUCCCUACCCACUUGCCAUGUGGAUGGCCAUCUCUGGUAACAAGUGUGUUCUGUCUUGUCGCUUCUAACCCAAGGCAUUCCUUUUGGACAGAAGGUUCAGGGAAUCCCUUCCACUGUCACUGACUGGAGUGUCUUCACUAUUUUUUCUUGAGUCACAAUCUUUGCUGUAUUAUUUUUUCUUUUAUUAUUAUUAUUUUUUAACCAAAGUCUUAAUCCAAUUUUUAAGAUCUAAUUUAAUUAUCUUCCUCCAGGAUCCUCCAUAAAUCUGCAUCACCUCGUGCCCUCAGGAGCACAUCCAGUCCCUAUAUUACAGCUUUUGUUAUUUCUGUCACUCUCAAUGGCUGCAUUUGCUCUUACCCCUUGGGGUUUUUCUCUCAUUUAACUUUGACACAUGUCUUCAUUACCUCCUUGAGAGGAACUCCAGGGGCCUAGAAAGAACUGCUGGAAGUGGCUCAUACAGUUUCUCAGAGGUGGUAGCGAUCGGAUGAUGCAAAUUUUACAGAGGAGAGAGUUGUUAUAUCUGAAGCAACACAGCUGUGAGACACUUUUGCUGCUCACUGAUGAGAAGAAAGCUAGUGCUGGAACAGAUCAGUCUUGAAAGAAGUUGAGUUGACCCUAAAGUCCUAAGGCCCAGCAUUCAAAGGUGGAGAAUAAUUCUACCUGAUGCAAACUGAAGUUUGAAUCCAAAGGCAUCCAUCCAAGAGGACAAAGCUGUAAGAAUUUCCUGAAAGUAGUUGGAUUCCAUGUAUCACACAAAACAUCAGUGACGCAAUAAUGUAUGCAACACACAUCAGGUAACAUGGAACUUUUAGAACAUCAUGAUCAGCCUCCAUUUAAAUAGCUACCCACAAGAAACCUGGUUUUGGAAACCUUGUGGGAAUCAAUCCACAUAAGCAAAGUUGUAUUCUAUUGCUAGAUAAGUUCUCUUCUUAAUAUUUUAAUGAAUAUGUUCGUAAAACUUACGAAUGUUUCAAAUUUUUAAGAGGAGAUACUGAGCAUAAUUGAAAUUUGUAGUUAGCUUU